GCAGAAUUCAGUGAAUCAUCGAAUCUUUGAACGCACCUUGUCGUCUCCUUGGUAUUCCGAGGAGCAUGCCUGCUUUGAGUGUCGUGGUA
rnacentral:rRNA from 1 species